ensembl:lncRNA
CUUGAAAGGCCUAUCCACUAGUGCUCUGUAGUGGUCUCCACUGCUGCGGAAUUUGUUAAUGGACCAAGGGAAAUCUAGCGUGAGCAUAUGUUACUGCGCUCUGCUAAUUAAGUUGGAGUUACACUGUCGUUGAAGGCCAAGGUGAACAGAACAAGGAUUUUCUAAGGAUUUAAGAACCUCUUUUCAGGACAAGCAGCCAACGAGGCCGCCCUUGUGUCAUGCUGAAACCGCCACAGAAGAAAUGGGAGUAGAGAACACAGAGGAAACUGCCAGGACUUCAGCAUGGUUCUCUUAUUUUGGCUGGUAUGAUGAAGAGCGAUCACUGAAGACUGGAGUUCCCCUGGUUGUUUUCCCUCCCAUCGACAGGCAUUGGAAUACGUAUCGGAAGAUGGAUCUGCUGGCAGCCUUUCCAGAGGUGUGCCAUGGACAGAGAGAGAGAGCAGAAGAUCCUGUGAGCAAUGAUAGGAGAGGCCUCAACGCACAGCGUUCAGACCAGCUCUGCCUCUCAUUGUUACCUUUAACAAGGUUUCUGGUUCACCUGUGCACCAUUAAUUAUUUUUGUAAUUUUUAUUUUUAUUAUUAUUAUGAUUAAAUAAAGUUGAUGUAUGUCUGUUCAGAAACACAGUAAAGAAUACUCAUAAUAUCACGAUAAUGUCUUUAUUAAAUGCUGUUUUUUUUCAUCAUUUUAGGUUGCAAUGCAUAGAUGAUAAGAAGUUGUUGCAAUGUAUGGAUAAUAAGAAAGCUUCUGUUAAAUAAAUAGUAAUUUUUCACACUAUAGUUUUAACUGUUUGUAGUAAUAAUUUAUUCUGUAUUUCAGUAAUGUAAAUUGUGGAAUACAGCAUUAUACUUGAAAUGCCCAAUCUGGGUAUUAUAUUUCAAAACUCUGA